rnacentral:snoRNA from 1 species
CUUAGACACAUUGCAGGUGUGAUUGUUGUAUCACAUGUGCAUACAAGCCAGGAGAGAGCUUAUGCUUAUGCUCAGUGAUCAGAUUUAUGAAAAUCAGAAUGAGACGUAGCCUAACACU